GACGAACGCUGGCGGCGUGCUUAACACAUGCAAGUCGAACGGAAAGGCCCUGCUUUUGUGGGGUGCUCGAGUGGCGAACGGGUGAGUAACACGUGAGUAACCUGCCCUUGACUUUGGGAUAACUUCAGGAAACUGGGGCUAAUACCGUAUAGGAGCUCCUGCUGCAUGGUGGGGGUUGGAAAGUUUCGGCGGUUGGGGAUGGACUCGCGGCUUAUCAGCUUGUUGGUGGGGUAGUGGCUUACCAAGGCUUUGACGGGUAGCCGGCCUGAGAGGGUGACCGGCCACAUUGGGACUGAGAUACGGCCCAGACUCCUAAGGAAGGCAGCAGUGGGGAAUAUUGCACAAUGGGCGGAAGCCUGAUGCAGCAACGCCGCGUGCGGGAUGACGGCCUUCGGGUUGUAAACCGCUUUCGCCUGUGACGAAGCGUGAGUGACGGUAAUGGAUAAAGAAGCACCGGCUAACUACGUG
rnacentral:rRNA from 1 species